ACUUAUAUGCUGUUAAUACUUUUUCUCUUUUGCAGCUUUUUCUUCUCAGCUGAUGCGUGCUUUUUCUAUUCUCGCUUGUCUUUGCAUACUUUUUCCGUUUGAUAGCCUCUCUCGAUUUCGAUUUUAAAAGUAAAAAACCAGACCCACUCUCUCUCUAGAAACUCGCUCGGCUCCUUCUUCCUCUACAAACUCUCUAAAAGUCAAAAAUCAGACCCUCUCUCUCUAGAAACUCGCUCGCUGAGCUGGGGGGUGGGGAGCUUCGGCUCCUUCUUCCUCUUCCUCUCCUCCCUCUCCUCGCCGGUCGUUCAUUUCCAGUGGUUUCGUUUGAUUUUUUUGCUUUUUUGUUUUUUUUUUUCAAGUUUUCGGCAGAAUAAAGGGGGUAGCCGUUUCGAGCUUCUCCGGCGACCAUCGUCCGACACGCGCACCACCGGGAGAAGCCUCACCCGCCGAUCUUACGGUCGACUGGCUUGGGAGCCAAUCGGAGCGGCGCGUUCCGCCGACGUGCGGUUUAAACGAAACGUGUGGUCCCUAGGAACUUCAGAUUGUUGGAGGAGCUUGAACGUGGUGAAAAAGGUAUUGGCGAUGACAUUGUCAGCUAUGGAAUGGAUGAUGGAGAUGACAUCUACAUGCGCUUUUGGACUGGAACCAUUAUCGGUCCUCACAAUUGAAGCAAUUAUUGAUCCUGCAGCUAUCUUUGCGAUACUUUUUGGUAGUGAGCUUUUUGAGGAAUACAUAGGUCAACUUGCGAUGGCAUCAAUGGCUUCACGAGACAUAUUUACAGAAGGGGAAUAGUUUGACACUAAAAAGCUGCAAGAAAAAUUGAGGGGUCUUGUCUUGUUUCUGUUGUGAGAACAUGAAGUUGGGUGUUUAAUCAUGAUGGAAAUAAAAAUGCUUUAGUAAAAAGAAGGGAUAGGGAAAUAUAUGACUGCUACUUGGGAACUUUACAAAACCCAACCAAUCCCAACCAUCUGGCUCUGUAAUGGGUAUCCUUCAGUCAACUGAGCAAGGAGAAAUGGUACCGGCAAAGUUUGGGCUACCACAGAGUGGUCAGACAGUUGGAGAUGUACACAACAGCUGUUCUGCUUGCAACCCUACGUCCUCCACACCCGCCCUAAGAAGAACAAUGCAGUCAAAAUUAAUAGAUUUCAAAAAUCAACUGUCAGAAUUAUCGUAGUGUUGACUACGAAUUAAAGUCAAACUAUUAAUCUUUUUGUAAUACAAUAAAAAACUAGCUAAUAUUAUGAUUAAAAAAAAUUGAAAUGUAAGGGAUGUAACAUUAUUAAAAAAA